GGGGUUGUAACUCAGUGGCAGAGCAGCUGCCUCACGUGCAGGAGGUCCCCAGUUCCAGCCCCAGCAUCUCCA